CGAUAUAUAAGGCGUCAGUGUUUGCGUGGCGGCCGGAAUCGGAGUCACACCCUUUGCGUGCGUCCUGCAGGCUCUGCUCGACGGCCGGACAGGCUUCAGGUUGAAGAGGUUGUACUUGGUCUGGGUCUGCAGGGAGCUGAGCUCCUUCUACUGGUUUGCGGAGCGCCUGUGCGCCCUUCAUCACAAGUUAUGGCAUGAGAACAGACCUGACUACUUUAACUUGAAGCUUUACGUGAGUCAAGCAGACCACCUGCACUGUAUAUCUGAGGAGAAGUACCGCCCACUCGCGUCAAGGCUGCUGGUGGGUCGCCCCAAGUGGAAGUCACUGUUGGACGACAUCGGCAGGAGCAACACGCACGCGCGAGUGGGCGUGUUCUGCUGUGGCCCUAAAGGCAUCUCCAGGACGCUGCACAGACUCUGUAACUCCGCCCACUUCCCCGGAACCUCUUUUGAAUUCAACAAGGAAUCUUUCAGCUGAUUUUUCUGGACAUGCGUGGACUCAUCGGCGGGGUGGACUAUCGAGCGAGGCCGUGGGCGGACGACUCUUUGACGGACUGCCUCCUAGUCCUCCCGCGGCCUGCUGAGGUGACGUCACAGCACAGAUGCGCUGGAAAGUCAUCAAAAAUUAGAAAAACUUGUCAAACUUUGUCAGAUAUCUCAUCCCUCACUGGAGCAAUGUUGACUUUUUUACACAAAAAUAAAGUUUGUUGUAUCAAA